rnacentral:snRNA from 1 species
UUAGCAUGGCCCUUGCACAAGGAUGACACGCAAGUUCGUGAAGCGUUCCGUAUUUAA